rnacentral:rRNA from 1 species
GGAGUUUGGACCGUGUCUCAGUUCCAAUGUGGGGGACCUUCCUCUCAGAACCCCUACUGAUCGUCGGCCAGGUGGGCCGUUACCCCGCCUGCAACCUAAUCAGACGCAUCCCCAUCCCAUAGCGAUGAAUCUUUCGUCCAGGUCAGAUGUCCUCUCUGGAAAACAUAGAGUAUUAAUCCCGACUUUCGCCGGGCUAUCCUCUACUAUAGGGAAGGUUGGAUACGCGUUACUCACCCGUGCGCCGGUCGCCAUCAAUCAAAGCAAGCUUCGAUCAUGCUGCCCCUCGACUUGCAUGUGUUAAGCCUGUAGCUAGCGUUCAUC